UACGAAGGGGGCUAGCGUUGCUCGGAAUCACUGGGCGUAAAGCGCACGUAGGCGGACUCUUAAGUCGGUGGUGAAAUCCUGGAGCUCAACUCCAGAACUGCCUUCGAUACUGAGAGUCUCGAGUCCGGGAGAGGUGAGUGGAACUGCGAGUGUAGAGGUGAAAUUCGUAGAUAUUCGCAAGAACACCAGUGGCGAAGGCGGCUCACUGGCCCGGUACUGACGCUGAGUGAGCGAAAGCCAGGGGAGCAAACGGG
rnacentral:rRNA from 1 species